GACGAACGCUGGCGGCGUGCCUAACACAUGCAAGUCGAGCGCGCCCGUCGGGCUUAGCGGCGGACGGGGGGGGGACGCCGGGGAACAUGCCCUUUUGUACGGAGUAUCGUCGGGAAACUGGGAGUAUAAUCGCAUACGCCCUGCGGGGGAAAGAGUGAUCGGAAAAGGUUGGGCCCGCGUUGGAUUAGGUAGUUGGUGGGGUAAUGGCGUAGCAACCCGACGAUACAUAGCUGGUUUGAGAGGAUGAUCAGCCACACUGGGAAUGCGAACCGGACCAGACACCUACGAGAGGCAGGAGUGGGGAAUAAUAGAGACUGGGGGACACCGUGAUGUAGACAUGCCGCGUGAGUGAUGAAGGCCUUAGGGCUGUAAAGCUCUUUCAGCUGGGAAGAUAAUGAAGGUAACAGCAGAAGAAGCCACGGCCAACUUCGUG
rnacentral:rRNA from 1 species